GGAGUCUAGCAUGUACGCAAGUCAUUGGGAUUUAAAUUAAACCUAAAGGCGUAAUGAAAGUAAAAGUAUAUUUUACAUAUGCUUAGGGAGGAUAAGAUAUUUUUUUUCGGAAAAAUAUUUUCGCACUCCCGGGGCGUUUCGUUCUCUUUAAUGAGAUGAGGCGCACCUAGAGCGUACACGCUGGGACCCGAAAGAUGGUGAACUAUGCCUGGUCAGGACGAAGUCAGGGGAAACCCUGAUGGAGGUCCGUAGCGAUUCUGACGUGCAAAUCGAUCGUCGGAACUGGGCAUAGGGGCGAAAGACUAAUCGAACCAUCUAGUAGCUGGUUCCCUCCGAAGUUUCCCUCAGGAUAGCUGGCGCUCGUUUUUACGAGUCUCAUCCGGUAAAGCGAAUGAUUAGAGGCAUUGGGGUCGAAACGGCCUCAACCUAUUCUCAAACUUUAAAUGGGUGAGAUCUUCGGCUUGCUUAAAUUUUGAAGCCGUAAGAUAAUUUUAUUAUUGGAUCAGAGUGCCAAGUGGGCCAUUUUUGGUAAGCAGAACUGGCGCUGUGGGAUGAACCAAACGUAGAGUUAAAGCGCCCAAAUCGACGCUUAUGGGAUACCAUGAAAGGCGUUGGUAACUUAAGACAGCAGGACGGUGGCCAUGGAAGUC
rnacentral:rRNA from 1 species